rnacentral:rRNA from 1 species
CCUACGGGUUGCAGCAGUGGGGAAUAUUGCACAAUGGGCGCAAGCCUGAUGCAGCCAUGCCGCGUGUGUGAAGAAGGCCUUCGGGUUGUAAAGCACUUUCAGCGGGGAGGAAGGCGGUGAGGUUAAUAACCUCGCCGAUUGACGUUACCCGCAGAAGAAGCACCGGCUAACUCCGUACCAGCAGCCGCGGUAAUACGGAGGGUGCAGGCGUUAAUCGGAAUUACUGGGCGUAAAGCGCACGCAGGCGGUCUGUCAAGUCGGAUGUGAAAUCCCCGGGCUCAACCUGGGAACUGCAUUCGAAACUGGCAGGCUAGAGUCUUGUAGAGGGGGGUAGAAUUCCAGGUGUAGCGGUGAAAUGCGUAGAGAUCUGGAGGAAUACCGGUGGCGAAGGCGGCCCCCUGGACAAAGACUGACGCUCAGGUGCGAAAGCGUGGGGAGCAAACAGGAUUAGAUACCCGUGUAGUC